CGGGCCGUAGCGCAGGUGGUAGCGCGCUUCCUUGGGGUGGAAGAGGUCGCCGGUUCAAGUCCGGCCGGCCCGACCA
rnacentral:tRNA from 3 species